AUUAUACUCCCUCCGUCCGAAAAUACUUUUCAUCAAAAUGGACAAAAAGGGAUGUAUCUAAAACUAAAAUACAUCUAGAUACAUCCCUUUUAUCCAUUUUGAUGACAAGUAUUUCCAGACGGAGGGAGUAUAUA
rnacentral:pre_miRNA from 1 species